UUUUCUCUCUUGCCCCAUGCAAUGAUACCUCACCUUUCUUUCCAUUUUCUCCCAUCUCUCUUCCAUCAACCCAUCCUAAGAACAACACCCCAAAAACCUAUCCAACAUCCUUAACUCCACACCCAUCACUACUAGCAACCCCACCACAAGAAGAUCAGAAGCCCCAUGCCCCCAUCGCUCAUCCUUCCUUCCUCCACCCUCAUAAAUCCAUUCUCCAGCGAGAUGCCACUACUCUUUGGCUUCCAAUGGAAGAUCCUUGCCGUUGGCACUACUUCUCCCUCCAUCACAUCCAGUUGAUGAAGAAAAGAAUAAACUCUCCCCGACCCUACUCUUCCUCUUCCACCUUUGGCUUUGCCAACAAUUCCAUCUUGUCUCUUCUC
rnacentral:lncRNA from 1 species